rnacentral:tRNA from 1 species
GGGAAUAUAGUUUUAAUUUUGGUAAAACAUAUGAUUUGCAAUUAUAAGUUAUUGGUUCAAAUCCGAUUAUUUCCA